rnacentral:misc_RNA from 1 species
AAGUGAAAAAAAAAAUAUUAAUAACCAACUUGUUAAAUAAAUCCAAGUAUAUACAAAACUAAAACAUCGGCAUUUGCUGUAUUCCCAUCCUGCAAUCUUCAAAAUGCAAUACAUGGACAACUUAGGAAACCUUAACAAGAAAUGUUGGCCGUGCUUCAUCAUCCCAAUUGAAUUAAAAGUUCAAGCUUCAAAAAGAUGAAUUCUCGUCUUGGACAGCUCAAGAAACCUAAUUGAACAAACUGGGCCAUGCUUCAUUGUCCACAGCUCCCAGCUGAAUUAAAAAUUCAAAGUUUCCUAGAAGCCCUAAGAUUAUAUUCAUGCUUGAUGAGAUUUGCCCUCAGCAGCAUUGCUCGUACAUCUCGAUCAAAUUCACUUCCAGUUUGUAGAACUCGUUGAAAAGUGGCAUUCCUUUGAUCUGCAUGUCGCGCAUAAAGAAUUUUGUUGUGCGAAUCAAUCCGUGCCUGCAUAGGUUUGAUAGUUUGAUAAAUAAAACAUUGGCAUAUUAGUGAUUAGACCGAUACAAUAUUAUCAGCAUACAAUUCUUCACAGUAGAAAACAAUCCCUCAUCAUGCAGGCCAGGAAAGCCCCGCCACCAAAUACACUGGGACAACUUUUUACAGUCAACAUUGAACUUUCAACAUUUUUCACAAAUAAAUAACCAAUUUAUUCAUAGAAAAAGAAGAUAAAGAAACAGCAGUGGGAACAAAACCUGUAUUUGAUUGUCAGUAAUCAAGGCUUCAAGUUCUUUCUCUAGCCCUGCAACACUUGUUUUGAAAGCAUUGGCCAUCAUGUUCAAAUCAACAGAAACAAAUGGGUGUGUAUAUUGAAUGAGUGCUUUGUUACGGAUUUGAUCGUAUAAUGUCUCAACAUGAUCAUGCAAAUGAAUGUCAAGCAAUAGGUUUGCUUUGAGAUUUCCCAGGUAAUCCAGACACGAAGCAUAAUGGCUUGAGUAGAAAUCAUGAAUAAGCUCUCUCACUUCAGGUACCAACUCCAAGAAAUUGCGGAAGUUGAGAUUGUCUAUAACUUUGUUCUUCAGCUCUGUCCGCUCAAAACUUGCAAGUGCACAAAGUCCUCCAUAUGUUGCAACAUCUUGAGGUGCAAUAACUUCAGUGUAAGAAUUUCCCAAUUCAGGAGCCACUUCCAGGAACUUCCGAGCAGCAAGCUUGUACUUCUUGGCCUCCAAAUGAGCUAAUCCAGCAGCACAACGUAGUUUUGCUAUUGUAAUAGGGUCAAGAGCCUCAGGUGUUUGCUCUGCUUUGCUGACAUAGCUUGUGACAUGAGUAAAUUGGCCCAUCUCGAUGCUAACAAGAAUUGCACUCAUGCACAUAUGAAUAAUGUGCUUUGAUGUAGUACAAUAAUCACGGGUACGAACAUAACUUUUAAAAGCAUCCCCAAGAGCACCAUGAGCAUAAUAGAAAUCUCCAAAAUCGUUGUAUCCCAUUCUUAUGCUUUCCUUGAUCAAAUUUGUCCUGUAGGCAUUAAGUUCGUUCUCGAGCCUCUCCUUCCUCUGCUCGGCUCUACGAUCGACCGUCUCGCACCAUGCGCUAUCCAUGGCGUAAUUAGGCCCAAGUCUCCCAUCAAUUUUCUGCACAACUUCACGAAACAGCUGCGUGUUCUCUCCCUUCUUGAUCUCGUCAUAUGCCAUUCGUAACGCCUCCAACUGCAUCGGAGGAUUGUCGCAGUGGUCGGAUAUGAACAGAAGGCGCGUGAUUUUGGUCCUCCCGGUGUACAAACCCGCAUAUGCUUCGAUGUCGAGCUGCUCGCCACUAAUAAUCGGCCUAUUACGGCUAGGACCGUCGCCGCCGUUCGCAUAAAUCUCGUCGUCGGCUUCCAUGUCAAUGACUGAGAAUUUGGGGAUAGGGCUUUGUGUUGUAGUCUGCUUAGUGCUUAGUGAUCUUUUGCUUUCCCUGCCAUCUGACCGUACACGCUAGCUAAAUUUGUUUCGG